GCUGCCGGGCACGGGGAGCACCGCUGGCACGCGGGGUGAGCUCAGCUGGUCACGGUGGCUGGGGAACGAGGUGGGAGCAGAAGUGACCCAGUGACCGCAAAUCCAGGUGGACGGAUGAAGCUGUGCUGAAGCUGGAGCCAGCCUCUUCCAGGGGUCACGAGACACAGGGCAUGUGAAGAGGAGACAAAGUGUGGUGGAGGGAGAAAAUCGCGUUUCCUAUCACUGGCAUUGCGGACCCGAUGCCUUGCAGGGAGGCUGGAGGUGAGUUUUAAUAAGCUAAAAUAAAACAUCUGCUAUUUCAGUGCAGUCCUAGUGUGAGGAAUAUCAAUUAACAAGAGGCAUUCUUGGUCGUUUGAGUUCACCACAACAGCGCUGGAGCUACAGCUAGAUGGGAAUGUGAAGAAAAUUACAACCUUUUCGGGGAAACCAUUAAAUAAAAAUCAGAAUUUGUCCAUAAG